AUCCAGUUGAUGAGUCCCAAAUAGAACGAAGCGCGCUUUAUCCUAGAU
rnacentral:hammerhead_ribozyme from 1 species